rnacentral:tmRNA from 1 species
GGGGACGCAAGGUUUCGAUAGAUGAUAAUUUUAAUAUAGGCAAGUCGAGGAUAUCGGUUAGCUCGUUAAAAUCCGAUAAAAAGAUAAGUGCAAAUACCAAUUUUGCCUUUGCUGUAGCCUAAAAACUAUAGCCAUUCCCCAUGCUGAUUCUCAAUAGGCAAACGGGAGUGUUAUAGUAAAUUGAGAUAGGCGCAUAGAUUGCCUUUUCUAUGCACUGAAAAAAUAGGCUUUGACUUUUUAGAUUUUUAUUCGUUUUUUAUCUAAAAAGUUGAGAUUACAAACGAAUUAAGCUUGUAGACCUAUAUUGGAAUUUCAUCUAGACACGGGUUCAAUUCCCGUCGUCUCCACUU